UACCCAUGCUGCGUGCACUGGUAUCCGUGCACCUCAGCUGGGCUGCUGAUUUCACCCCUAACUCAGGCUUACCACCCUUGGGUAUGCUUCCAGAGAGCCCAGCUGCAUCCCCUUUCUCCUUCAAUCCUAGUUUAAAGCCCUCUCAACAAGUUCUGCCAGUUCACGAGCUAAAAUUCUUCUGCCCUUAACAGAAGGAUGGAGCCUGUCUGGUUCAAGCAGACCAGCUGCCAUAAAAGUUGCCCCGUGAUUAAAGAAUCCAAAAUUCUGCAGGUGGUAAUCCUUCUCAGACAUGAAUCAUAAUUGGGAGGCUCAAUGGACAGAUAAUUUUCUUCUAAAUCAUCUGGAUGACUCUCCAGAUCCAGGGGCUCAUACCUGUUCUGAAGUGGCACCUGGCUUGGGAGUGGGGGUCAGGAGGAAUUUUUAUUAUUACCUCCUCGAGUAGAUAUCUCCUCCCACUCCCCAUCAUCUACCAGGUGUUCUUCUAUUGUCUGAAAGUAAGAGGUACAAAAGACUGUGGGAACCAAGGAGAGCAUUGCUGCACUGCCAGACCUCAGGGAACCAAGGAUCCAUUGGGACAUUGCAGGGACUUGGAGGACCACGGCGCCACUGUGACACUGCAGGGCCCAAGGAUCCAAGGGACUUUGUGACACCAAGGGGUUCCAUGGAACCAAAGGGACAUUGUGACACAGGGAGGCCUCAUGGAAUCAUGGAGACCAUUGUGACACUCAUGGGCCUCAAGGAACUGUGGUGACACCAAGCUGGGUGUGAGUGUGGAUCUGCUGGAGGGCAGGAGGGCUCUGCACAGCGCCCUGGACAGGCUGUAUCCAGGGCCCAAAUCCUACAAGGAAUUAAGGAACAGAGCCACAGUGUUUCAGGGGCAGAUGAGAGGUGACCACCAGAGGCCAAGGCUAGCCAGAGCAGGGAAAGCACGGAGCCCCAGUGUUUCAGGAGCUGAUGAGAAGCAGCCCUUGACAUGCCAAGGUCAGCUAGACUUGUCAGGUGGCCCAUGGGGAGACCAAGCCAGCCAGACCUGCUCCAUGUUCCCUCAGUUACACGGGGCCCCAUAGUGUCCCAAUGGUCCCUUGCUUCCAUGACGCACUGAGGUGUCCCAAUGGCCCUUUGGUGACAUGAGGCCCUGAAAGGCCCUCAUGGUCUCCAUGGUUCCAUCAGGCCCCACAGAGUCAUAAUGAUCUCUGGGUUCCAUGAAGCCCCGCUGUGUCACCAUGGCCCCUUGGUUCCAUGGGCUCCAGUGGUGCCACAAUGAACCCCUUGCUUUCAUGAGGUCCCCACAGUAUCCCAGGGAUCUCCAUGGGAAGGAAAGAACCAAGCCCCAGUGUUGCAGAGGCAGUCACCAGAGGCCAAGGCCAGCCAGACUUGAUGGGACUGGCAGAUUUUGCCUGGAAGCAACCCUUGGAUAUACAGAAUUUUAGAGGAAGGAAAGCACAGAGCUCAAGUGUUUCAAAUGGAGAUGAGGAGAGAGAUGGCUCCUGGGAGGCUCAGCCAGCCAUAUCUGUUUCUCCUGGCAGCUCUCAUCAUGGAGGAGUCCUUGGAUAUAUGGAAUUUGGGAGGAAGAAUCUCAGUUUUGUCCACGGGCAUCUUGAGAAGAAGGAUGGUUCUUUUCCAUUGGAAGGAAAGCACCGACACUCAGUGUUUGGAAAGCAGAUGAGACGCAGCCCCCAAGAGGCCAAGGGCACCCUGACCUGUCUGUCCUGGCAUCUUUCAUUGGGGGGAAAUCCUUGGAUGUAUUGUGUUCUUGAGAUGGAAUCCCAGAUUUGACCAUGGGCACCUGGUCAAGAUGGAUGGGUUUUUUUGUAUUGGAAAGAAAAGUGCAAAGUCCAGGUGUUCUGGAAGAUGAUGAGAGUUGGCCACCAUUAAGACAAGCCAGCCAAACCUCUCUCUGCUGGCACCUUUUGUCUAGGGGCUAUCCUUGGUCACAGGGCAUUUUGGAGGUGGAAUGUCAAUUUUGGCCAUGGGCACCUGGACAGCAAGAAGAGUUCUUUUCAUUAGGAAGGAAAGCACAGAGCCUCAGUGUUUCAGAGGCAGAUGAGUGCCAGCCCUUAGGAAGCCAAGGCCAGCCAGAUUUGUCACUCCUGGCAGCUUUUGUCUCGGAGUUAUCCUUGGAUAUAGGGAAUGUUGGAGGCAGAUGCCCAAUUUUAGCCAUGGGUCCUAGUCCAGAUGGAUGGUUUUUUCCCAUAAGAAAGAAAAGCACAUGGUUCCAGUGUUUCAAAGGCAGAUGACAGGUGGCCCCUGGAUGGCCAAGGCAGCCAGAGCUGUCACUCCUGGCAGAUUUCAUCUGGAAACAACCUUUGCAUAUAAGGAAAUUUGGAGAAGGAAUCCCAAUUUUGACAUGGGCCCCUGGAGGACAAGGACAGUUCUCUCCCAUAGGAAGGAAAGCCCAGAGCCCCAGUGCUUCAAGGGUAGAUGAGAAGCAGCCCUCGACAUGCCAAGGUCAGCUGGACCUCUCAGGUGGUCCCCAGGAGGCCCAGCCAGCCAGACCUGUUUCAUGUUCCCUUGGUUUUGUGAGACCCCACAGUGUCCCAAUGGUCUCCUUGGUUUCAUGAGGCCCUGGAGUGUCCUUUGUGCUCCCACAAAGCCCUGAUCUGUCACCAUGACCCCUCGACUCCAUCUGCCCUCACUGUGUCACAAUGGCUCCUCUGUGACACUACAGGAUCCACAAGGUCACCAUGGACCCUUGGCUCCUUGGGGCCCCUGAGUUUCACAAUGGAGACAGUCCUGGAUUGCCAAGCAGAUUGUAUUCUCUUUGCCAUCUCUAUGGCAGUUGUCUUCUGUUAAGCGGGUAGUUUUCCUUAUCUCUUCCACACCCACUCCUUCCUCAGGGCAGACAUCUGCUGAUAACAGGCUAUUGAAUGUCACUGCAUGACUGAUAAGAACUACAGCAUCCCAUUGGGAGAUGCUCCACCCAGAGGGGAGAAGCAAGCAUUCCUACCAGAUAUAAUCUUGAGUUUCUGGAACACUAGCAUGGCUUUCUCCACUGGAUUUCCCAGAGGAACAGCAGCUGCCUCUUCCACUGGAUCUUCAGAGGAAGACUACACCUUUCUACAGGAUCCCUGCUCCAACAGAACCGCACCUGACACUCCAGGAGGACUGCAGCCACCAUUCCAAUUGGACUGCUACCAACACCCUGUGCAACAGGGUGUCAGGUUGUGUUCUGAUUCUGUCAGUGUUGUCUUGCUUUACUGCAUUGUUUAUUUUAUCUUUUUAUUUGUUUCCCUAAUAAAGAACUGUUAUUCCUGCUCCCAUA